CCUUCUACCGUAUGGGUUCCAGGGAUUGA
rnacentral:piRNA from 1 species